GCCGGGCGCCGUGGUGCACACCUGUCAUCCCAGCAGCUCAGGAGGCUGAGGCAGGAGGAUUGUGAGUUCAAAGCCAGCCCCAGCAACUUAAUGAGGCCCUAAGUAACUUAUCAAGACCCUGUCUCUA
rnacentral:sRNA from 1 species